UGUACCCAAGCUUUUACAAAUUCUCUGUGUAUUAUACAAAUCAUAGCCUACCCUGUUUCACCGACUCUCAUCUUCGUCUUCAAGGUUGCUCAAAAGUUAUCAGGAUUUUAUCUUUUAAUGAUUGGGGCUUGUAGAUCAGGUAGGCUCUUCAAUUAAGAUUUUGAUUGGGUCUGUUUCAAUUAGGGAUCCAUGAAACAAAUUGAAUUAGGGCUUUUCAAACCGUACACGGAGUAUACUCCUCCAAACCUCUUCGACUCUAAACCCACUCUCUCAACUCUCACCCUCAGUUCAAAUAUUAACUCUCACCGCUCCCUCUUGACUCUCACCCUCAUCUCAACUCUCGACUCAUAUCCUCAGCUCAGUUGUCUGUCUAAUUGAAGGUGAUUAGGAUUGUUUCUAGCGGCUUGAAAUUGGGGAUUUCACACGAGAUUUCAAUUGGGAUUUUCAAUCAAGGAAAACACACAUGACUACAAGCUCCACAUGCAGAAUUAUCUCUUGAUGAUUUCUUUUCCUGCAGAGUCUGGUGAAGACAAUAUUUGGAGAUUUUAGCAAUUGUAGCAACUAGCAACAUGUAAGGUUCAUAUUUCUUAGCAGUCUCAACAAAGUCAUCAACCCAAAACUAGUUGACUUCCCCCCCCCCCCCCCCACCAGAGUGAGUACGGAACAUGAAAACAGAGAUAGCUUGGGUGUCCUUGACAGAGUACAACUCAACCAACUUCUGCUUCAACUCAGCCUUCAACAAGCUAAUAAACGUACUGAGAUAAAACAAAUACAAAAUUGUCGACGCUGGCAUUUGGCAUUUUUAAUAGAGAAGGAGCUUAUAUUGUUCUAGAACUCAUGUUUGGCUACACAAUACAUGAAUUGGUGAAAUAUAUGAUGUUGCUUGGCUGGGUGAUGAUAUUCAUGGUGCAACUUUGUCAAGUGAAACCAUAGACAUAGUAGAUGCAGCUUUCAUGUAUAAUGCAAUUACGAACUACAAGAGCUGUUUGAUGUGUUAUUUUUGUAAUAAAUUAUUUAAAUGUUUUAAAGUAGUACAACACUUUGCGGUGUGCUUGUUUUUGUUGUGCUUUCAGUUGGGUUACAUAUGUAUUUGUUUCAUGUGUAUUAAUGGAUGAAUAUUUUGUAGUGAAAUAAAUAAAAUAUGUUUUUACA